GCGUGAAUGAUGAAGGCCUUCGGGUUGUAAAGUUCUUUUGGUAGGGACGAUGAUGACGGUACCUACAGAAUAAGCUCCGGCUAACUUCGUGCCAGCAGCCGCGGUAAUACGAAGGGAGCUAGCGUUGUUCGGAAUUACUGGGCGUAAAGGGUGCGUAGGCGGUUUGACAAGUCAGAUGUGAAAGCCCCGAGCUCAACUCGGGAACUGCGUUUGAGACUGUUUUACUAGAAUUCGGGAGAGGUGAGUGGAAUUCCCAGUGUAGAGGUGAAAUUCGU
rnacentral:rRNA from 1 species